UCGGUUUAGGAAUCGGAAUCGUUUUAAAAGUACCGGUUCGGCAUCGGAAUCAUAAAAAUCCAAACGAUACCCAACCCUACACAUGCACAUGCAGUAGUUAAUGAUGCCAACACUCGGCAAUAAACGGCGAGAGCGAUAAUUAAAGUUGUAAACUCGACAUCCUUGCUGUUGUUAAGUGAAAACACAAUUUGUUUAGGAAUUACACCUUUUAUUUUGGAACAUAAAUAGAUUGAUUUUCAUAAGACAAACCAGCCAAACAGUUUAGCGCUGCCACUAACCAUUACUUUCAUUAUCAAUUCAUCUGCCGAUUGUUUUCUGGAUGAAUCUAUUAAUUGUUUGGUCUUUUAAAGUGUCAAAAAUAGUUUUAAAAUGUCCAUCCCAGUUUCUCAAAGUCCAAGGUGAUGUCUUUAAAUGUCUUGUUUUGUCCAAAACUUAAAGAUGCUCAGUUCAAUAUGAUAUACAGAAAGAGAAAAGCACGACAUCUCCGUAUUUGAGAGGCUAAAAGCAGCAUUUCUGCCAUUUUUGCAUGAGAAACUUCAGUGAGUGAAAUAGUUGGCCAUUAUUUUUCUGUCCAUCGACUAAAAGAUUAGUUGCAUAUUCACCAAAUUGAAUGUCAGCGUUUACUCCUAUAGUAAUGUUCGGCAAACACUGUGGUCAGAAACACACAUUUGCACGUAAUAGGCUUUAUUGUCAUUAUGACCUUGUCUUGGCAGAAGUCCUUUCUGUGUCACCACGCUGCCUUUUGUCUCUCCCGCUGGACACGUCCCGUCCUAAACACUCAAACUCCACCGUCAGCGCGAUUCACCAGGUUUGGUAACUGAAAACUAUUAGAAACUGCAUACCACAUAAUAUAAAGUUUUAAAGGCGUUACGUGUAGAAUUUUAACAACAAUAAAUCAACAUAAAUUUUAAAACCAUAUCAUGUUAACUGCAAGAAAAACAGACCGUCACAGAGGAGAGUGUCGGCCUCAACGCCAGACGGUCAGAUUUGGAUCACUUUAUGGCAAAAACCAACAAACAGGAAAGGCUGUCAGAUUGUCUGCUGAUGACGAUGGGUGAAAGCCCAGAGUUAGAUUCAUGGAAAAUGUGGACUAACUUCUCAACUAAUCCAAGUGGUUCACAGUCAGAAGGACAAUGCUACAGUCCUAUUAAGACAUCGUCUAAUAAAAGUAGUAAAAGGGGCUUUAUGUUGCACAAAAAAAACAACCUAGAAAUGCCUUAAUUUCACUGCAGCAUCAAAUCUACACUUCACCUCAUGUAGUAAUUUUUUUGUGUGUGUAUUGAAACUUCCAGUAGUCGACUGCAAAUGCCUUAAAAUAUUUCAUUUUCUGCUCAAGAACAUUUCUGCCUUACUGGUUGAAACCAGUCAAAUCCUAAAAAGUCAUAUUUUCCGUAUGAAGUCCGCACGGCUUUACUCAACUCCUUUUUCCCCCUCUUUAAAUCUUUUAAUAACAUAAAUAUUUGUCACUUUCUGGCUGAGCUGAGAUGUCAGGAAAUCUAAUAUUUUGAAAUCUACUAAUGGCAGCCAGCCCUUCUUCUUCACAUGGCUUCCUAAUAUUGACCAACAGUGACCAAGGCAACAAAUUAAAGCAGUCUGAAAGCAUCCAAACUAUCGGGGGGGUUUUUGUUUGUUUUUUUAUCUGCGUGGACUAAACCUGUUGAUAUAUUGUUAAAUUGGAUCUAAACGUUGAUGCCUGAUGCUGUUAAUGGUAGAUGUGACUAAAGAGCAAAUAUUUCAGACCUUGUCAUUUUGUCCGCUCCUGCUCCGCUCUCCUUCUGGCCCGACUGGGUCCUCAGGUGCUCGUCUGGUGUGGUAGCACCUCCUGGAGGCCUUAGAGGGGAAUGCCGCUCAGUUUAACGGUUCAUUUGUGUUGUUUAUGUGGCCAGCAGCAGAUUAAUCAGUGUUUUGGGGCAUUAAAUAAAUCUCAGAAAUCAGAUAAUUUAGACUUGAACCUAUAAAGUCAGACAAAAAGUUUUGGAGUUACACAGAACUGUUUGAGGAUUUAGAUAGAUAGAUAGAUAGAUAGAUAGAUAGAUAGAUAGAUAGAUAGAUAGAUAACUUUAUUUAUCCCCACAGGGAAAUUAAGGUGUCUUCGCAGCCAGGUACUUAAAUACAGUUACAACAUAAAACACCACUAUUAAUACAGUACAAUACAUUAAAAUACAAUACAGUCACGAUACAAUACCAAUGCACUUAAAAAGGAGGGAUACAACUUCAACUACAGUGGGACUGCAUAAUAAAUACGGUGCAGAGAGGACAUAAGGCAAAUAUGUUAAUGUGUUUAGACACAAUAUAUUAUUAUUGGACAGAUA